GACGAACGCUGGCGGCGUGCCUAAUACAUGCAAGUCGAACGCAGUGGGGACGGGUGAGUAACACGUGGGUAACCUCCCAUCAGAGGGGAUAACACUUGGAAACAGGUGCAAAACCGAUACUGAUGGAUGAACCAGCGGUGCAUUAGCUAGUUGGUGAGGUAACGGCUCACCAAGGCCACGAUGCAUAGCCGGCCUGAGAGGGUGACCAGCCACACUGGAACUGAGACACGGCCCAGACUCCUACGGGAGGCAGCAGUGGGGAAUAUUGGGCAAUGGACGAAAGUCUGACCGAGCAACGCCGCGUGAGUGAAGAAGGUUUUCGGGUCGUAAAACUCUGUUGGUGGGGAGGCGUUAUCUAACCAGAAAGCCCUGGCUAACUCCGUGCCAGCAGCCGCGGUAAUAC
rnacentral:rRNA from 1 species